GUAGGGUGCGAGCGUUAAUCGGAAUUACUGGGCGUAAAGCGUGCGCAGGCGGUUUUGUAAGUCAGAUGUGAAAGCCCCGGGCUCAACCUGGGAACUGCGUUUGAAACUACAAGGCUAGAGUGUAGCAGUGGGGGGUAGAAUUCCACGUGUAGCAGUGAAAUGCGUAGAGAUGUGGAGGAAUACCGAUGGCGAAGGCAGCCCCCUGGGUUAACACUGACGCUCAUGUACGAAAGCGUGGGGAGCAAACAGGAUUAGAUACCCUGGUAGUCCACGUCCUAAACGAUGUCAACUAGUUGUCGGGAGAGGAGACUUUCUUGGUAACGUAGCUAACGCGUGAAGUUGACCUUCUGGGGAGUACGGUCGCAAGAUUA
rnacentral:rRNA from 1 species